rnacentral:tRNA from 3 species
GUCUAGAUAGCUCAGUUGGUAGAGCAUAGGAUUGAAAAUCCUUGUGUCAUGGGUUCAAAUCCCAUUCUGGACA